rnacentral:piRNA from 1 species
AGGAUUUUGAGUUUGAGGAUAACU